rnacentral:tRNA from 1 species
GCCCAUAUUGUCUAGUGGUUAGGAUACCUGGCUCUCACCCAGGAGGCCCGGGUUCAAUUCCCGGUAUGGGAA